rnacentral:misc_RNA from 1 species
GAACCGCGAUAUGCAAUGCGAUCCGCAGCCCUUGUGAAUCAUCUGAUUCUUGAACGCAUCUGGCACUCGAUGGCUGGUUACAGCUAUCGGGUAUACCUGUUUGAGAAUUUAUUUUUCUCUUCAAUCUUUUGUUUUCGUUUUAAGUAAUGAGUUCAAAAGAAUGAGAUAGUGAUGAUCCAGUUGGUCUUGUAUCAAUUGGUGAAUCGAAAUAGAGAGAUGAAGGAUAUUUGAGUUCUGGUUGGUAAAACAAUCGUUACUUCAGAUAUUGAAAAUAUAGAGUGACACAUUUUAUAAUUUCAUCCGCUUUUAUCUUUAGGUUAACGAAAAUACAUUCUAAACUUAAUCUCAAAUCAGGUAAGAUUACCCGCUGAACUUAA